GGAUUGCGCUGCGGAUGGUAACCCUAAUGCAUUGCUUAGCCCGUGAUGUAACCCAGGGCUCUGCCCCAGCAGCCGCCUCCCUCGUCCCCGUAACCUCUCUCUGCUCUGACCUAGAACAGAUCUGGCUCACCUCUCAUCCCCACCCUAACCUCCACGGUCCUUCCUCUGCCGGUCGCCAUGGCGUCUCGCUGCCAGGCCGGUGCUUCCUUCCCGCCUCGGGGAGCCUCGAGAGCUGCCCCGUCUCUUCUCCAGGCGCACCUUCCUGGCCGUGCACGCACGCUUCCAUUGAAUUAACCAUGUCGCUCGCCGGUCGACCGGCCAAGAGAUUUACCUGGUAGCUCGCUCUCGUCUCCAUGUGGCCGGCAAGCGCUCACGGCGGUCCCUCUCGUCGUCGGUCGAGGGUGCCUUUGGUCGACGACCAGAAGUGCAUGGCUGCCAUGGUUUUUGUCAUCCAGCACCGUCUAGGUCCUUGAAUUUACAUAGGAUUCCAUAGCUAUGCAGAUUGACACACCCGUCCAUCCAUCCAUGAUGCUCUGCACAACAAGUUAACUAAUUGUAUACCCAUCCAGCGGUAAUUUCUCUUCUAAUUAAUCAGAUCAGACGCAACCCUUUUUCCCUCUUAACCAGUCCUUCAUUCUUUUUCACCAUCCUCUCUUUGUAAUUUACGGUUGAUAUAUGUUGGGAUCCUUGUCCACGGAUGAUUUACUUUGUUAAUUUAUAAAGUAGGUUUUAUAUAUAUCCUUGUAUAGAAGAAGAAUCGUUUGUUGGAACUAGAUCGAAAAUAUGUAUAGUGUUUAGUUUUGAUUUUCUCUUUUGAAAAAAUGUAGACCAAGUUUAUCAGUGUAUCAUUCGUACAUACUACCUAGUAUAAGGGUUAGCUAUGAUUUUCUCCUUUUGAUUUUUUUUGUAGAUAGAGAUACUACUUAUAAUAAGUACUAUGCAUAAGGUUUAACUUUGAAUUAGAUUUACGGAUUUAUCAUUCCUAAGUACUACGAAUACAUAUUAGCUUUGAUUUUCUGCUUUUGAAAAGAAAGUUUUAGAUCAAAAUUUAUUGUUUAUCAUUCAUAAGUACUUUUGAUAUUUCUCUUUGAAAAAGGAUGUAUAUCGAUGUUUACCCUUAUCAUCCAUAAGUUAGUUAAAGCUUUUGCUGUAAUUCUUAAUAGUUCCAACCUCAAGUUUUCAUUCAUUUGUGAGUUCACAACCUUUGUGGCUCCUUUGAUUCACAGGAUUAACAUGUUGUGUCAUGUACUCAUAUUCUUUAACUGAAAGAGUUCACCCAAUAAUAUUGCCUCGACCGUCAUGCGCCCCUUUGUUAUUACUCUCUCCGUCCGGAAAUACUCGUCGAAGAAAUUGAUGUAUCUAGACGUAUUUUAGUUCUAGAUACAUUCAUUUUUAUCAACUUCUUUGACAAGUAUUUCCGGACGGAGGGAGUACUUUGACAAUGUGCGCACACUUCCGUUGAAAUACAACCAUAUCGGGUGCUGGUGGGUGAGGUGUUUACUUACCUUAUCGAAAAUUGUCCAAUGUAUGUCUGGAUCGAUGCUUAAGUUUUUCUUUCCUAACUUGCUAUAGUUAGUUGGUGAUCCAAAGUAUCGUUGUUCUUGAUUUUGCAUCGUUUCCAAGGUGUUAUGUUUGCUCUAAUUUCUUAUGCUGCUGCAUGUCUCGCCCUUAUUCUUUUUCCGUAAUCAUAUUGUGUUUACCACUAAUCAAUAUAUCAAUAUAUUGAUACAAGUCUUUGACUUUUCUUUACCGUCCGUUCACCACUUAGCCCUGGUAAAGGCCCUCUCUCCUGGUACAUCUAACGUAUCAGUGGCAACCGCAGUAAAAAAUAGAUAAACUAAUGCUAUUGACCACAGUGACAUGAGCUUGUCCCCUCUUGUGUCACUUGCAGAUAGGCCCCAUGCAAUGCUCAUCAUCUGAGUGUUGUGAACUUAAUUGGAAGCAGAAUCGAUACAAGUCCGCGUGGAUUGAGCGUGCACUUCCUACUUGGCAUCAGGCUGGCAAUAAUAUAUGCCAUGACCCUGUACUUUAUGUCUUUUGGUUGGCAGGAAUAAAACAAAGGUUUGCCUACACCACUGAUGAAGCCGCCGUCGCCGCUGCGGCUAUCGCAAGAUCAUUUUGGCCGCCGCUACAUCAGGCGGAAGAUACUUUCUGCCGCCGCUGCCUCAAGACUGGGUUGCCAUGUACUCCCUCCGUAAACUAAUAUAAUAAUGUUUAGAUUACAGAGAGAGUAUAUAUCAGAGGAUCAGGAAAUGGGCCGGAGGUAAAAAUUAAACAAGCCCAGCAAGCUGCCCAGUUCUCCCAGCCCGCAGCACAAGCAGAUGCACGCCCGCAUCCCGCAGCCCCGCAUUGCUCCCGUACCCUUUGGUAUCCAUUCCGCACCAAAACCUAGAUGCACGCCGCACCAGCCGCCUCCCGCCGGACGCCGCGCCCUUCCCCAGUAGGCCGUCAACUCUAGCCGCCCUUCCUGCUAGUGGCUGCGCGCCUGCGCCCUGCUGCUUCCACGCCGGCGCCGGCCACGGCGCCCAGUCUUCAGCGGCCAGCGCCCAGCGGCAGCAGCUUCGCCGGCGGCCGGCGGUGUGCAGGCGUGCACCCUGCGCUGGGGUCUGGAGACGUGCAGCAUAGCAAGCUAGCAGCUGGGAGCUGAGCAGCAGCCUGCAACCUUUUUUUUUGGCCGAUUUGUCCAGAGCCUCAAGAGCCUAAGCAUCUCAAUGGCGAACAUACAUCCUGACUUCAAGAAGAAGAUGGCUCGUGCAGUGGGCAUACUCAACUUGGAACUAUCCGACUCUUUUGAAGUUCUGCUCCAAGAUGUGGUCAAGGUGUUGGUGGACAGAACCACUUGUGUUGUGAUGCAAAAAGCAUUCUGCGUCUUGGCCUCCCCACUCCCGGUCGAUUAUAUGGACAAGCCAAUUGCAAGACUCUUCCCCAAUCCUGAUGAUUAUUUUGCCUCGAUCGGGCUUGAUUCAACGAUUGGUUUACCAUUCAGCAUCCCCACCUCUAUGUCUUCUUUGAAUGAUGAUGUUCCAUACAAUAUACAUGCUUGGUACCACCGGUUGGCUGGCCAUUUAGUGCUCCUUGCGUCCUUACCAACAGAUGGCGUUGAGAAUGCUUCAAGAGCCGGAAAAUUCAAAAACCAUGUCUUCAAGGAGCUGUGUGAUCUGGCUAUUGAGAGCUCCACAAAUCAUGUUGAUUCAAUAUUCCUCCCUCAUCCGAUUUAUGCAUGGGUGACUCAGGAGAUUGAAGAUCUUAAUGCAAAGAAGGAAGUGGGCAGUGGCACCCAUGAGGAGAAGCGCUUCAUAACCAAUCGCAUCAUAACUCAGAUUAAGCAUCUUCAUGGCCUCUUGACCAACGACAACCUGAAGUAUGGCUGGAAGCUCUUCUGCUGCAAGCAAGUUAUGGCAAAGCCUCUGCCAAGACUCCGGGAACGCAGAACGAAAACCUGCAGGAGGUGUACCGAAUCCUUGCUGACGAGCUUCCGGCAGAUUACAUGAGCCAACCAAUUGCUGACCUUCUCCCUCUUCAGUAUGCCUGCUCGCUAGGCCUCCCGCCGGACAUCGACAAACCGUUUAAAAAAAUGGACAGUGACGUCAACAAGUAUGACCUUGCCAAGGAUGAUGAAAGGGAAUUAUUCGAACUACUGGCAAUAUAUCAUCGAAUAGCGCGUGUGAUCAUUCUGCAUGCUUCUCUUGCCCGCAGCGAGGAAAACACCGAAAUUGCAUCAACUUUAAAGGAGCAUGGUAUCUACCCACUGCUGCAGGAGUGUGCCCUCAUGUAUUCACUUAAGGCUGGCGCGUGCAUGGGAAUCCCUGAACCAAUCGUACGGUGGGUUGAAAAUGAUCUUGAGCAGCUCAACAAAAACCUAUCCAAGAUGGAUGCCAGUGAGCAACUUGAACAACGCCGUGUUAUACAAGACCGUGGAAAGAUAAUCUACAACACAAUUGACUACUUUGAUAGCAGCUUGUGAACCCUUUUGUUCGCUGACAUCUUAUGCAUGCUUCUACAACACAAUUGACUACUUUGAUAGCAGCUUGUGAACCCUUUUUUUCACAGACAUCUUAUGCAUGCUUAUGCUGUGACAAUAUGCAUCUUGGUGGGCUAUUUUGGCAAAACACUCUUGUGGUGGAUAUUCCUAUUUGGUCCUGCUAUCUUCAUCAAACAUAUAGUAUAAAGAAACUGCUUAGAUAUGCAACAAGCUAACAUUCCAUGUUCUCUAUCACCC